UUCUAUGCAUGGCAUGACUGUUGAACUCUUGAAUUCACGGGAGCUAUGGCAACCUGCUCAAGAUCUCCGUCAGAGUGGUCCCAUCAAAAUCCUGUCAUGGAGGAUUAAUGUAUGGAUAAAGGAUGUACCUGACCACAAAUUAUCCGCUGGGGAAGUGCUGAAGAGUGGCCAACCAGAAAGAGCUGUUGAAACUGGCUCCAACAAGUUGGCAGUUUAUCUAAAUUCACGCAGAUGAGUCACCUUACUGGAGGUUCUUGAAGAGGAGGACACAUUCACAUAUCUAGCCUUCAUCCAGUGACUGAUGGAAGCAGAGGCAAACACC